rnacentral:tRNA from 1 species
AUGUAUAGCUAAACGGUACAGCACCAGACUUUUAAUCUGUUUAUUUUGGGUUCAAAUCCUACAAAGCGUA